CGGGAAGGAGACUGAUUCUGAGAUCAGCGCACAGGGCUGUGAUUGGGAGGGGCAGUUGGGAUCAGGAUUGGGGAGCAGGAUUGGGCAGAAGGAGAAGCUGAGCAGAGAUGCACGAAGGCCUGACAAAGGGCUCCGCCAGCCCGACAUGCGGCUCUGGAGACAGAUGAGCCAUCAGAAUGGGCUCAGAUCAGACCUUUAUACCCGGUGCAGAGCAGCCCCUGGAUGAGGCUGCCCCUGGAAGGAGGUGUGGCCUUGGACAGGUCGUUUUCUUCUGCUGAGGCAGUCCUCAAAGAGGAUCUCUCAGGAGCCUGUGGACCCUGAGAAGAUGAAGAAGCCCUGUGUUGCACCUAUUUUGCUGAUAAGAUGAGUAAACCAAGGCUCAGAGAGGAGAAGAAAUUUGCUCAAAACCAUGCUGUACUGAGCUGGGAUGGGAAUCUGGCCCCAAAGCCCUCUCUGGACUCUGCCUUCUGUCGUGCGCACAAGAGGAAUGGUGUUGGAGACGUGGAAAGGAAGGCUUUGGUGUUUGGAUCUGGGCUUCCUUCUUGAGAAAUUAGCUGCACGCUGUCCAUUCUCUUUUGCCUCCUCUCCAGGGUUCCCUGAGCCACACCUGGUGUGGUCACAAUUGCAAAGAGGCCCGGGAGGGUCCUGGAGGUUCCCAGGACUGAAGCUGUCCCCUUUCAGCCUGGGCGCCCCUGUGUGGACUUGAUGGGGACCUCUUGUCUGACGGAGCCCGUGUGGUUCUCGUGCAAUGAUGGGAACCAGGGGCUGCGGAGGGAAGAGCAAAGGAGCACGCUGGUGUCCCUCGGACCCAAGUUCAGGCUCUGUCACUUCACGUGACUUCAAACAAGUGGCUCUACCUUUCUGAGGCUGUUUUCCCAGCUGUACAAUGGGCUCAUAACACCGACCUAUCUCUCAGGGUUACCAAGAGGGGAAGUAGAUGAAGGUACGUAAGGGCCCAUCCCACUCACCCCUGGCUCACUGUUGGUGCUCGGAAGCACUGGAGAACAGACUCCCUAGGCUCACCAGCUCUGCCUCUCACCAGCCAAGGACCCAUGGAGGAAUGCAUCUCCCAAGGCCGCAUUUCCACAUCUAUAAAAUGGGACCUUUGCUUCUACCCCACAGUGUUUGGGGAGCAGAUUCAUUGAGAAGAGGUCACAGAACUUGUAGUCAUUCACCCUAGACUGCUGGAGUCACUCUCCUCCAUCUCUUCAACAUGAGCUUCACUCAUGGAAAGGGUCAAUCAACAAACUGUUACCACGUGUCUCUCCCGGGCUGGGUCAUGCACUGGAUGCUGAGGGAUGAGCCAGACACAGUCCUGCCCUUGAAGACUCAGGACGGCAUACCGUCAGCAUCAUGACUAGAAAGCAUCGAAGAAAACGUAACGAAAUAAGCUCAUACUCUGUUUCUAAAGUUUGGGACUGUGCUUUCUUUGUUUGGCCUACAUCCCCUCUGUGACUCUACAUCGACAAAACUUAAACCUGGAAAACAGGCGUCUGAGAUUAGGCACAAAAUGGUGAGAUCGUAUACCUCCAAAUUUGUUCAUGCAUUUUGGAUAGUCCCAGUUCCAAUGUUCUAUGCCAACAAUGAGCGUGCUGGGAGCAGCGCAGGUUGUUAAAAGUGCUUGCCAAACAUACUUCUAGAGCUAACCCCGUCAGGGGAGAAAAAGAAAUAGCAUUCCAGCACAUUGGCUUGAAAGCAACUUACCCAAUGGUUGGCCCUCAAAUGUUUCUCAUUAAGUAUCUUCCCCGAGGGCAGGGGACUAUUCAUUCCUUAAUUUUCAGCCUCCAGCUCAGCAUCUACCGGUAUUA
ensembl:lncRNA